rnacentral:rRNA from 1 species
GAUGAACGCUGGCGGCGUGCCUAAUACAUGCAAGUCGAGCGAACGGACGAGAAGCUUGCUUCUCUGAUGUUAGCGGCGGACGGGUGAGUAACACGUGGAUAACCUACCUAUAAGACUGGGAUAACUUCGGGAAACCGUAGCUAAUACCGGAUAAUAUUUUGAACCGCAUGGUUCAAAAGUGAAAGACGGUCUUGCUGUCACUUAUAGAUGGAUCCGCGCUGCAUUAGCUAGUUGGUAAGGUAACGGCUUACCAAGGCAACGAUGCAUAGCCGACCUGAGAGGGCGAUCGGCCACACUGGAACUGAGACACGGUCCAGACUCCUACGGGAGGCAGCAGUAGGGAAUCUUCCGCAAUGGGCGAAAGCCUGACGGAGCAACGCCGCGUGAGUGAUGAAGGUCUUCGGAUCGUAAAACUCUGUUAUUAGGGAAGAACAUAUGUGUAAGUAACUGUUCACAUCUUGACGGUACCUAAUCAGAAAGCCACGGCUAACUACGUG